GAUGAAGAACGUAGCGAAAUGCGAUAAGUAGUGUGAAUUGCAGAAUUCAGUGAAUCAUCGAAUCUUUGAACGCACAUUGCGCCCUUUGGUAUUCCUUAGGGCAUGCCUGUUCGAGCGCCAUUUAAACCUUCAAGCUAAGCUUGGUGUUGGGUGACUGUCCGCUUCACGGCGGACUCGCCUCAAAAUUAUUGGCGGCCGGUACAUUGGCUUCGAGCGCAGCAGAAACGCGAACUCGGGCCCGUCGUAUUGGCUCCCAGAAGCUAUCUUCACAAUUUUGACCUCGGAUCAGGUAGGGAUACCCGCUGAACUUAAGCAUAUCAAUAAGCGGAGGA
rnacentral:misc_RNA from 1 species